rnacentral:rRNA from 1 species
AGGACGAACGCUGGCGGCGUGCUUAACACAUGCAAGUCGAGCGAGACUUCGGUCUAGCGGCGAACGGGUGAGUAACACGUGGGCAACCUGCCCCGAGCUCUGGGAUAACUCCGGGAAACCGGGGCUAAUACCGGAUACGACCCGAGAAGACAUCUUCUCGGGUGGAAAGUUUUUCGGCUCGGGAUGGGCCCGCGGCCUAUCAGCUUGUUGGUGGGGUAACGGCCUACCAAGGCGACGACGGGUAGCCGGCCUGAGAGGGCGACCGGCCACACUGGGACUGAGACACGGCCCAGACUCCUACGGGAGGCAGCAGUGGGGAAUAUUGCGCAAUGGGCGAAAGCCUGACGCAGCGACGCCGCGUGGGGGAUGAAGGCCUUCGGGUUGUAAACCCCUUUCAGCAGGGACGAAGCGAAAGUGACGGUACCUGCAGAAGAAGCGCCGGCUAACUACGCGCCAGCAGCCGC